rnacentral:rRNA from 1 species
UACGGGAAGCAGCAGUGGGGAAUAUUGCACAAUGGGCGCAAGCCUGAUGCAGCCAUGCCGCGUGUAUGAAGAAGGCCUUCGGGUUGUAAAGUACUUUCAGUCGUGAGGAAGGUGUUAAGGUUAAUAACCUUAGCAAUUGACGUUAGCGACAGAAGAAGCACCGGCUAACUCCGUGCCAGCAGCCGCGGUAAUACGGAGGGUGCGAGCGUUAAUCGGAAUUACUGGGCGUAAAGGGCACGCAGGCGGUUAAUUAAGUUGGAUGUGAAAUCCCCGGGCUUAACCUGGGAAUGGCAUUCAAGACUGGUUAGCUAGAGUCUUGUAGAGGGGGUAGAAUUCCAUGUGUAGCGGUGAAAUGCGUAGAGAUGUGGAGGAAUACCGGUGGCGAAGGCGGCCCCUGGACAAAGACUGACGCUCAUGUGCGAAAGCGUGGGGAGCAAACAGGGAUUAGAUACC